UCACAAUGAAAUCCACACCGCACAAGUUUUUCCUCCUGAGUUUUUAAACCAAAAGAGCCGGUGAAGAUGAGAUAUUUAAACAGUUCUCCAGUUCUGUCUCCAAGCUAGAUGCGCUGCUCUUUAGCGCAUUCGUAAAGCUAGGUGGAUGCAAGAAAAAUAAUGGACUCUUACCUACGCUAUUAGUGCGAAGCUGCAACAUUUCCACAUACGAUUAACCAUUAAUUACGCUUUGAAAUGUAGUACACUUUUGCUGGAGCUUCAUGUUUAAAGUUGUGCUUAAUGGGAUAAAUCCUGCUGUCUCUGUGGCUUAACAUGGUUUGCCUUUAUCUGACUACAAUGUUUUCGCCCACGCAUUGUUACGAGUGGAUUAGUCAAAGCAAGGAUGAAGAUGAAGCGACAUGGGAACGUGGCCGAACACGCUUGUCCUGAGGAGAGAAUGCGAGCGCUCUCCGUUUGCAGCAUAUGUUCAUAGAGCAAUAAAAGUGAAAGAUUUACGGUCCUCGGCCGGCCCCCAACAGCCUCUCACCCUUUCAGGAAUUACUGACCAUGAUUUACAGCAAUGCACAUCUCCGUCAUCCCUUUCUAACCACUGGCAUACUUUUCGAAAUAAUCUGCAAUUACUUCCUAUCUUCACAAAUACCAAAUACAAAAUUAAAUUUGUCUUGGAUUGCUUCUGUGUGUGUGUGUGUGUGUGUGUGUGUGUUUGCCUCCGAUCGUGAAGAUUAAUUUUCUCACAAUUAUUUGUUUUUUAAGGUUAUCCUCGGUUAAUUUAAUACCAUAAAAUGCAUACAGACUCUCUUCUUUCCUAUCAAUAAACACAUAAAGCCCAUA